ACUCUCAGCAACGGAUAUCUUGGCUCUUGCAACGAUGAAGAACGCAGCGAAAUGCGAUACGUGGUGUGAAUUGCAGAAUUCCGUGAAUCAUCGAAUGUUUGAACGCAACUUGCGCCCGAGGCUUAUCCCGAGGGCAUGCCUGCUUGAGCGUCC
rnacentral:rRNA from 1 species